rnacentral:rRNA from 1 species
CCUACGGGAGGCAGCAGUGGGGAAUAUUGGACAAUGGGCGAAAGCCUGAUCCAGCCAUGCCGCGUGUGUGAAGGAGGUCUUCGGAUUGUAAAGCACUUUAAGUUGGGAGGAAGGGCAUUAACCUAAUACGUUAGUGUUUUGACGUUACCGACAGAAUAAGCACCGGCUAACUCUGUGCCAGCACCCGCGGUAAU